rnacentral:rRNA from 1 species
UACAGAGGGUGCGAGCGUUUAAUCGGAAUUACUGGGCGUAAAGCGCGCGUAGGCGGCUUUGCAAGUCGGGUGUGAAAUCCCCAGGCUUAACCUGGGAACUGCAUUCGAGACUGCAUUGCUAGAGUAUGGGAGAGGGAAGUGGAAUUUCCGGUGUAGCGGUGAAAUGCGUAGAUAUCGGAAGGAACAUCAGUGGCGAAAGCGACUUCCUGGACCAAUACUGACGCUCAUGUGCGAAAGCGUGGGGAUCAAACAGG